UAAAGGUUAGUUUAAAAAAAAUGUUUAAUUGUUACUUAAAAGUUUAACCUUUAU
rnacentral:tRNA from 1 species